GACGAACGCUGGCGGCGUGCCUAAUACAUGCAAGUUGAGCGCUGAAGGUUGGUACUUGUACCAACUGGAUGAGCAGCGAACGGGUGAGUAACGCGUGGGGAAUCUGCCUUUGAGCGGGGGACAACAUUUGGAAACGAAUGCUAAUACCGCAUAAAAACUUUAAACACAAGUUUUAAGUUUGAAAGAUGCAAUUGCAUCACUCAAAGAUGAUCCCGCGUUGUAUUAGCUAGUUGGGGAGGUAAAGGCCCACCAAGGCGAUGAUACAUAGCCGACCUGAGAGGGGGGUCGGCCCCCUUGGGACUUGGACACGGCCCCAGCCCCUUCGGGGGGCCGCAGUAGGGGAUCUUCGGCCAUGGGCGGAAGUCUGACCGGGGCACGCCGCGGUGGUGGAGGAGGUUUUCGGGUCCUUAAACUCUUUUGAUAGGGAAGAACGAUGGUUGGAGUGGAAUGCUCAUCAAGUGACGGUACCUACCCAGAAAGCGACGGCUAACUACGUG
rnacentral:rRNA from 1 species